UACCAGCACCACGAGUGGUCGGGACGUUUAUUGGGCCUAAAGCAUCCGUAGCCGGCUCUACAAGUCUUCCGUUAAAUCCACCUGCUUAACAGAUGGGCUGCGGAAGAUACUAUAGAGCUAGGAGGCGGGAGAGGCAAGCGGUACUCGAUGGGUAGGGGUAAAAUCCGUUGAUCCAUUGAAGACCACCAGUGGCGAAGGCGGCUUGCCAGAACGCGCUCGACGGUGAGGGAUGAAAGCUGGGGGAGCAAACCGG
rnacentral:rRNA from 1 species